rnacentral:misc_RNA from 1 species
GAUGAAGAACGUAGUGAAAUGCGAUAAGUAAUGUGAAUUGCAGAAUUCAGUGAAUCAUCGAAUCUUUGAACGCACAUUGCGCCCGCCAGUAUUCUGGCGGGCAUGCCUGUUCGAGCGUCAUUUCAACCCUCAGGCCCCGCCUGGCGUUGGGGAUCGGCGCGGCCCUCUCCGGGCUGCCGGCCCCGAAAACUAGUGGCGGUCUCGCUGUAGUCCUCCUCUGCGCAGUAGCAACGCUCGCACUGGAACUCGGCGCGGCCACGCCGUAAAACACCCCACUUCUGAAAGUUGACCUCGGAUCAGGUAGGAAUACCCGCUGAACUUAAGCAUAUCAAUAAGCGGAGGA